rnacentral:lncRNA from 1 species
CCUGGGUUAGAACACACACACACACACACACACACACACACACAUACACACAUACACACACACACACACACAUUACCACCACCACCAACAACAACAACAACAACUCUUUUCAAAUACCACUAGUAAUUUUGCUUGACUUAAUGAGAGAAAGGAUAAAAACCCACUUUGGAACUGAAAUGUGGGUCUGCUAAUUGAGAACUGUAUUCUCUUUAAGAAGAUCAGUAUCCAAGUAUUUCCCCAACUAGAAGAUCACCCAUCCCAGGAAGAGAAGGUGAGAGGCUGAGCCAUUUCCAAGCAUUGAACUUUUCUGUCAAGGUGAUCAUGGGGUCCUAUGUAGUAAAACCAUUCCCAGAACAGAGUCAGAGAAAGCUUAGAGGAGGAAGAGAAUGCAGCAGGGGAAAAGAUUGAGUCAAAGGGCACAUCCACAUAGAAGGGUAGUGAGGCAUCAAUAAAAUCAUAUCCAACUGCA